AUACUAAUUAUAAUUGUUGUUUUUAGUUUAAAUACACUCAUUCACAAAGGACACUGAGGAGCGCCUAUUUUUUCGCAGCAGGAUUAUUUGGAAAAGCUACGGCCAAAGAUGUGUGGUUCCCAGCACCUUUGAGGAAGGAUCCAAUUUUAAGGUUUUAUAAAUUGUGUGAUAAAUGGAAUGUUGAAGUCAAAAAGAAUCCUGCUGCCUUGAGAGAGGUAACCAUAUUCGAAAA
rnacentral:lncRNA from 1 species